rnacentral:rRNA from 1 species
UAACCUGCCCAAGAGAUCGGGAUAACACCUGGAAAACAGAUGCUAAUACCGGAUAACAACAGAUGAUGCCUAUCAACUGUUUAAAAGAUGGUUCUGCUAUCACUCUUGGAUGGACCUGCGGUGCAUUAGCUAGUUGGUAGGGGUAAACGGGCCUACCAAGGCGAUGAUGCAUAGCCGAGUUGAGAGACUGAUCGGCCACAUUGGGACUGAGACACGGCCCAAACUCCUACGGGAGGCAGCAGUAGGGAAUCUUCCACAAUGGACGCAAGUCUGAUGGGGGCAACGCCGCGUGAGUGAAGAAGGUUUUCGGAUCGUAAAGCUCUGUUGUUGGUGAAGAAGGAUAGAGGUAGUAACUGGCCUUUAUUUGACGGUAAUCAACCAGAAAGUCACGGCUAACUACGUGCCAGCAGCCGCGGUAAAU